rnacentral:tmRNA from 1 species
GGGGCUGUUCUGGCUUUUGACGGGUUGGCCAAUAGAUGUGUAAGCACGUAGAGCGUUGAAGGUACGGCUCUUAAAUCUCGACUUUCAAAACACAACCGGCGAAAACAACUUCGCAAUGGCUGCCUAGUCUUAGAGACUAUAGCAAUACCAUCCGCUUGCCCAAGUCAUGUCUCGGAUACGAGGAAUCACAAGCGGUCGAUAAUCUGAGAUAAUUUUAGCCCAUUUCUAUCAAGUUAAAAUUUAUUGCGUAGGAUAAGGGUAGAUUGGGUUUGUAAUGCAGCUGAUUUACUUCGAAAAAUAAGCAUAACUAAACGUGAAGAAAACGCAACUCUAUUCCGAUUCGGACCCGAGUUCGACUCUCGGCAGCUCCACAA